CUUCUGCGUACAAGUCCACCGGUUUCCAAUGACCGUCCACGGGGGGGCCCGCACAAUUCACAUCACAUGUUAAAGUAAUUCCUGCAACGCGAAUAACCCACCAGGUCCGGACAUCGCGUUGCACGUAUAGGAGACUAGGGUUUCCGUUCGGGGACAACGGUGACAGGUGGUGCAUGGUUGUCGUCAGCUCGUGUCGUGAGAUGUUGGGUUAAGUCCCGCAACGAGCGCAACCCUUGAUCUUAGUUCCCUGCAUUCAGUUGGGCACUUUAAGGGGAAUGCCGGUGACCAACCGGAGGAAGGUGGGGAUGACGUCAAAUCUUCAUGCCCCUUAUGACCUGGGCUACACACGUGCUACAAUGGACGGUACAAAGGGCUGCAAACCCGCGAGGGGGAGCCAAUCCCAGAAAACCGUUCUCAGUUCGGAUUGCAGGCUGCAACUCGCCUGCAUGAAGCCGGAAUCGCUAGUAAUCGCGGAUCAGCAUGCCGCGGUGAAUACGUUCCCGGGCCUUGUACACACCGCCCGUCACACCACGAGAGUUUGUAACACCCGAAGUCGGUGGGGUAACCCUUACGGGAGCCAGCCGCCGAAGGUGGGACAGAUGAUUAGGGAAAGUCGUAGGCGAGCAAGACGAAAGGACAA
rnacentral:rRNA from 1 species